UACGUAGGGUGCAAGCGUUAAUCGGAAUUACUGGGCGUAAAGCGUGCGCAGGCGGUUAUGUAAGACAGAUGUGAAAUGCCCGGGCUUAGCCUGGGAACUGCAUUUGUGACUGCAUGGCUAGAGUUUGGCAGAGGGGGGUAGAAUUCCACGUGUAGCAGUGAAAUGCGUAGAUAUGGUGGAGGAACACCGAUGGCGAAGGCAGCCCCCUGGGUCAAGACUGACGCUCAUGCACGAAAGCGUGGG
rnacentral:rRNA from 1 species